AGGACGAACGCUGGCGGCGUGCUUAACACAUGCAAGUCGAGCGGUGAUCCUCCUUCGGGAGGUGAUCAGCGGCGAACGGGUGAGUAACACGUGGGCAACCUGCCCCUCACACUGGGAUAACCUCGGGAAACCGGGCUAAUACCGGAUACGACCUCGAGCGGCAUCUCUUGAGGUGGAAAGCUCCGACGGUGAGGGAUGGGCCCGCGGCCUAUCAGCUUGUUGGUGGGUAAUGGCCUACCAAGGCGACGACGGGUA
rnacentral:rRNA from 1 species